UACGGGGGGGGCAAGCGUUGUUCGGAAUUAUUGGGCGUAAAGAGCUCGUAGGCGGUUUGUCGCGUCUGCUGUGAAAACCCGAGGCUCAACCUCGGGCCUGCAGUGGGUACGGGCAGACUAGAGUGCGGUAGGGGAGAUUGGAAUUCCUGGUGUAGCGGUGGAAUGCGCAGAUAUCAGGAGGAACACCGAUGGCGAAGGCAGAUCUCUGGGCCGUAACUGACGCUGAGGAGCGAAAGCGUGGGGAGCGAACAGG
rnacentral:rRNA from 1 species